rnacentral:rRNA from 1 species
UACGAAGGGGGCUAGCGUUGCGCGGAAUUACUGGGCGUAAAGGGCGCGUAGGCGGCACUGUUAGUCAGGCGUGAAAGUCCUGGGCUCAACCUGGGAACUGCGCUUGAUACGGCAGAGCUAGAGGAUGGAAGAGGCUCGCGGAAUUCCCAGUGUAGAGGUGAAAUUCGUAGAUAUUCGCAAGAACACCAGUGGCGAAGGCGGCUCACUGGCCCGGUACUGACGCUGAGGUGCGAAAGCGUGGGGAGCAAACAGG